rnacentral:rRNA from 1 species
UAACUGAAGAGUUUGAUCAUGGCUCAGAUUGAACGCUGGCGGCAGGCUUAACACAUGCAAGUCGAGCGGGGGAAGGUAGCUUGCUACCGGACCUAGCGGCGGACGGGUGAGUAAUGCUUAGGAAUCUGCCUAUUAGUGGGGGACAACAUCUCGAAAGGGAUGCUAAUACCGCAUACGUCCUACGGGAGAAAGCAGGGGAUCUUCGGACCUUGCGCUAAUAGAUGAGC